CCCUUAGAUGUUCUGGGCCGCACGCGUGCUACACUGACCGGUGCAACAAGUUUCUUUCCUUGGCUCGAUAGGCCUGGGUAAUCUUUGAACACCGGUCGUGAUGGGGAUAGAUCCUUGCAAUUUUUGAUCUUCAACGAGGAAUUCCUAGUAAAUGCGAGUCAUCAUCUCGCGUUGAUUACGUCCCUGCCCUUUGUACACACCGCCCGUCGCACCUACCGAUUGAAUGGUCCGGUGAAGCGCUCGGACCGCGGCCUCUUGACGGUUUUCCGUCGAUUGGCUGUGGGAAGUUCGUUAAACCUUAUCAUUUAGAGGAAGGAGAAGUCGUAACA
rnacentral:rRNA from 1 species